CCCCCCCCGACCGAGGGUGCAGCCCCCGCGGGGGCCUGGGCCGGACCCGCGGGGGGGCUGCGUCGGGCACCCCAGUGUCCAGGGGCGGCCCUGAGCCCAGGAGCCCUUGGCCGCCUCGCAGCUGGUGAAGCAGGCGGCGAAGGGCGCCGCUGAGGAGGCCGCCCCGGGUGCGGUAAUAGCCGCUGUUGGGCUCGCCGCUGCUGGCGAGCCAGGCGAGCCUGUGAGCCACACAGAGCUCUUCCCCAGGCCCGGGACGGCGGCUCCCGGCCGCGCAGCUUGGUGCAAAGGGGAGCAGCUCCUUCAGCCUAGGUGGUUGCACACGCGGUACGGGAGCAUUCAAGGCGAAGUGGUCCCUUCGCAUCUCUCCAGGCACAGGGCACAAAGAGGGAGUCUCAUAAACCAUAAAUCCAGUGUCUCUGCUCCGGCCAUGAUUUUAAAUGUCUGGCGGAGUGAUGGGUUUAAGCUCCCAGACUCAUCUUUUGAAAGUGUUGGGCAGGUUUCCUUUGAGAAUGAGGCCUGAUUGGCCAGACGUAGAGUGAUGGCUUUGGAAAAGUGUUCACCCACAGGUGACAGGGUGUUUGUGUCUUUUAUCGUUUUCCUGUGAGAGUUCAUGUGAGGGUGUAGCGAUUGUCUGCUUUCGCUCACAGAGCUCUUAUUGGGACAUUUAGUGCACUGGACGAAGCGCGCCACUUGCGAUAGGUGUGUGUAGGAGCAUGGAUCUUGGAAGGUGUGAUGUGAGGGGUACUGAUCAUUGUGGAAGUGGAGCUAUGUCUGCAGUUUUCGCAUCUGUUCUGGCAGGGUCUGGGGCAUCUUUGAGUUGGUGUGUCCUGGUCUCUGGGGAACUUGCUUCUGAUGAUGAGGUUGAGGGAUUGUGGAAGGCCAGAAGUGGGGAUUCAGGAAAGAUUUCUUUCAAGAUGGGGUCCUCAUUGAGUAUGGGUUGUAGUUGUUUGAUACCACCCAAUACUGGAGCCCACGCAGGGUAAGUGACAACUAGGGGUGUGCAGUCAGAAGUUGGGUUUUUCUCCCCCUGUAUUGAAGCAGGUUCUCUCAGGGUAUUUCGGUGGCCUGUUCGAUGACGUGGCCUACUUCCCUGGUAGAGUGUCCUUGUUUGGUGAAGGCACUUUCAAGCGUGUUAAGGUGUAUAUCCUAGACUUGAUCCUCAGAGCAUAUUCAUAGAAUCAUAGAAUAUCAGAGUUGGAAGGGACCUCUGGAGUCCAACCCCCUGCCCAGAGCAGGACCAAUUCCCAACUAAAUCAUCCCAGCCAGGGCUUUCUCAAGCCUGACCUUAAAAAUGUCUAAGGAAGGGGAUUCCACCACCUCCCUAGGUAACGCAUUCCAGUAUUUCACCACCUUCCUAGUGAAAAAGUUUUUCCUAAUAUCCAACCUAAAUCUCCCCAACUGCAACUUGAGACCAUUACUCCUUGUCCUGUCAUCUGUUAUCACCGAGAAUAAUCUAGAUCCAUCCUCUUUGGAUCCACCUUUCAGGUAGUUAAAAGCAGCUAUCAAAUCCCCGCUCAUUCUUCUCUUCCGUAGACUAAACAAUCCCAGUUUCCUCAGCCUCUCCUCAUAAGUCAUGUGUUCCAGUCCCCUAAUCAUUUUUGUUGCCCUUUGCUGGACUCUCUCCAAUUUUUCCACAUCCUUCUUGUAGUGUGGGGCCCAAAACUGGAUACAGUACUCCAGAUGAGGCCUCACCAAUGUCGAAUAGAGGGGAAUGAUCACGUCCCUCGAUCUGCUGGCAGUGCCCCUACUUAUACACCCCAAAAUGCCAUUGGCCUUCUUGGCAACAAGGGCACACUGUUGACUCAUAUCCAGCCCCUCCCACAGGAGCAAUGGCUGGGGCAGGAGCAGCUGCAAGCCCGGGCAGCGCUCUGUUCCCCCCCUCCCCCCAGCCCCUAGAGUAUUUUUAGUACAAGCCAGGGACAGGUCAUGGGCUUCCUUGAAUUUUUGUUUAUUGCCCAUGACCUGUCCCCUGGUUUUUACUAAAAAUACCCGUGACAGAAUUUUAACCUUAACUAUUAUGUAUGCGCCUCACUUAAUUAAUCCUAGAUCAAAGGUAGUAUUGAGAGGAGAAUUUACUUGAUGUGUAAACUUCAUGAAAACCAAUGAAUGUUACCUGUAUUGUUUUCACUUAUCCAUCCCUAUUAUAAUGAACAGCCAGCAAUUGCGUUGUGUAUAUCACUGUAACUGGAUUACUUGUGUAUACAUAGGAAGUAGAAUGUUAAUUUCAAAGCAAGCGGUCCUUGAUGUGGUGACCUGAGGUCAAAGACUCAAAAUGCAUGUUGUGCAGGUGAGUGCUGUGUUGUGAGUGUAAGCGUUUGCCUGGCUGCUUUUCAGGGAAGACAGACACAGGCUCCGGUUUCCUCCGGGCCCCAAAGGUGCUCAACCCCCGGCCCCACCCUGCCUCUUCCCAUCCCUGCUCCACCCCCUCUUCUGAAUGGGAAUGAUACUUCAUCUCUGGACUGAUGAAUUCUGAUGGGGGGAAUUCAGAGCAACUGUACAGAGAUCCCUAGAGCCAUUCUAGUUAGUUUACUAGAGAAAUUGGGUUCAGCAUUGUCUUUGGUGAGAUCUGGAGUAUACCUGUGUGACAGGUUGGAUCACAGAAACCGCCUUGGGACUGCCACCUGAUCUGCUGAGACUACCUCUAAGCCCGUUUUCCCUGGCAGCUUGGGACUUCAGAACCCAGCCUGGUUGUGCCAGACACGCUGGCCUGCUACAAACACAGACCCAGAUGCGCACGCUGGAUUUCAGAGGAGGGCAACAACAAUGAGAAAAAGGGCUAGGAGGGCCACAGGUUGGACGUUCCUGGCCAAAGAUGCAAGAGGCCAAAGGGGGAAGGAGAAAGAGAGCAGAGCUCAGUCCAACGAUAAGAUGCUGGCCCCAGCCCAAGGACGCUGCUCACAGCUGAGACUUGGCUG